CGUGUGUGUGUGUGUGUGUGUGUGUGUGUGUGCGCACACGUGUGCACACACACAUACACACACGCA
rnacentral:miRNA from 1 species